GGGUGAAAGGGGGGGAUCGCAAGACCUCUCGCUAUUGGAGCGGCCGAUGUCAGAUUAGGUAGUUGGUGGGGUAAAGGCCUACCAAGCCUGCGAUCUGUAGCUGGUCUGAGAGGACGACCAGCCACACUGGGACUGAGACACGGCCCAGACUCCUACGGGAGGCAGCAGUGGGGAAUUUUGGACAAUGGGCGCAAGCCUGAUCCAGCCAUGCCGCGUGCGGGAAGAAGGCCUUCGGGUUGUAAACCGCUUUUGUCAGGGAAGAAAUCUCCUGGGCUAAUACCUCGGGGGGAUGACGGUACCUGAAGAAUAA
rnacentral:rRNA from 1 species